rnacentral:rRNA from 1 species
AUACGUAGGUGGCAAGCGUUGUCCGGAAUUAUUGGGCGUAAAGCGCGCGCAGGUGGUUCCUUAAGUCUGAUGUGAAAGCCCCCGGCUCAACCGGGGAAGGUCAUUGGAAACUGGGGAACUUGAGUGCAGAAGAGGAUAGUGGAAUUCCAAGUGUAGCGGUGAAAUGCGUAGAGAUUUGGAGGAACACCAGUGGCGAAGGCGACUGUCUGGUCUGUAACUGACACUGAGGCGCGAAAGCGUGGGGAGCAAACAGGAUUAGAUACCCUGGUAGUCCACGCCGUAAACGAUGAGUGCUAAGUGUUGGGGGGUUUCCGCCCCUCAGUGCUGCAGCUAACGCAUUAAGCACUCCGCCUGGGGAGUACGGUCGCAAGACUGAAACUCAAAUGAAUUGACGGGG